AUUGAACGCUGGCGGCAGGCCUAACACAUGCAAGUCGAACGAGUGGCGGACGGGUGAGUAAUGUCUGGGAAACUGCCCGAUGGAGGGGGAUAACUACUGGAAACGGUAGCUAAUACCGCAUACCAUCGGAUGUGCCCAGAUGGGAUUAGCUGGUUGGUGGGGUAACGGCUCACCUAGGCGACGAUCCCUAGCUGGUCUGAGAGGAUGACCAGCCACACUGUAACUGAGACACGGUCCAGACUCCUACGGGAGGCAGCAGUGGGGAAUAUUGCACAAUGGGCUCAAGCCUGAUGCAGCCAUGCCGCGUGUAUGAAGAAGGCCUUCGGGUUGUAAAGUACUUUCAGCGGGGAGGCGUUACCCGCAGAAGAAGCACCGGCUAACUCCGUGCCAGCCGCCGCGGUAAUAC
rnacentral:rRNA from 1 species